rnacentral:rRNA from 1 species
AGUGAACGCUGGCGGUAGGCCUAACACAUGCAAGUCGAACGGCAGCACAGUAAGAGCUUGCUCUUACGGGUGGCGAGUGGCGGACGGGUGAGGAAUACAUCGGAAUCUACUUUUUCGUGGGGGAUAACGUAGGGAAACUUACGCUAAUACCGCAUACGACCUACGGGUGAAAGCAGGGGAUCUUCGGACCUUGCGCGAUUGAAUGAGCCGAUGUCGGAUUAGCUAGUUGGCGGGGUAAAGGCCCACCAAGGCGACGAUCCGUAGCUGGUCUGAGAGGAUGAUCAGCCACACUGGAACUGAGACACGGUCCAGACUCCUACGGGAGGCAGCAGUGGGGAAUAUUGGACAAUGGGCGCAAGCCUGAUCCAGCCAUACCGCGUGGGUGAAGAAGGCCUCCGGGUUGUAAAGCCCUUUUGUUGGGAAAGAAAAGCAGCAGGUUAAUACCCCGCUGUUCUGACGGUACCCAAAGAGUAAGCACCGGCUAACUUCGUG